rnacentral:lncRNA from 1 species
GACAACUAUAGCCUUAUGAAAAAUUUUUCUCCAAAAAUAGCACUUGAAAUCAAAAUUACCCCUUUCAUCCAUGGGCUGCAGAAUAGAUGUGUUAGAAAGCAGCAAAAGGACAUUAAUCUUGCACAGCUCCAUUAGAGAUCUUGGGAGACCAGGUGCAGUGUCAAUGAGCAGUCAUAUUUUGAAAGGAAUCUUCUGUUCUUUUCUUCCUGAGCAAGCAACAAGGUAGGAUAUCAGGAAACAAAACAAAACAAAAAAACAGAAGGAUAUGCAGUAAGGAAGAGAACACAGAACUAGAAUUUGUGAAAAUGAGCUGGAGUUCACAAAAAUAAACUAGAUCUCAUAUUGUUCUCUCAUCACUGGCAUAUCUCUAACUUCAAUGAUAGAAUGGCUAACCAGAAAAAAAAAAAUGGUAACCUUCAUCAUGGAGCUAAAACUAUCUUUGCCUCAAUAAAUGGAGAAGCUAAAGGAAGAUCUGGAGGAGCCAUGGGCCCAGUUACUGUCUUCCAUCAAAAAGGUGCUGAACUGUAAUCACUCCAAAAGUCUAAGACAGAAGCUGAGCAGAAAAUCAGCCAGGAUUCAAUAUCAAAUAAUCACAAAGAAAUCAGAAGAGGCAGUAAAGGUUUAACUCUUCAGAUCAAGAACUCUGCAACACUCAGGGACAUCAUCUGUGGAACUGCAGCUAACUUCAAGGAAUCAAUGCAUGUGAUGAAGAAUAGUUCUGUUUUCUAAAAUUAUAACAAUUUGAAGAAUUGGAAAUCGAUCUACUAUGGAAAUGAAAAUGAUAAAUGUGCAAAUGAGUAAUCUGAAUGGUAAAAAAUAGCAUUAUACUUUCUCAGUAGGACAUUCAUAUAAACGUGUUUAGUAAA